rnacentral:miRNA from 15 species
UAAGAGUAGUUCACUACUUAUCA